CCCCUGGGCAGCCUGAGCCCAGGGCUCCCUCCCGCCCCUCCGGCGCCGAGCGCAAGGGGGCGCAGGUGCGGCAAGGCCCCGCCCAGAGCUGGCAGCCAGAGCCAAUGGGAGGCGUGGGCAGAGCGGCCCCGCCCCCAAGGGCGCUGUGGGCUCCGGCCCCAGGGGCGUGAGCGCCAUUUUGGCUGGUGCUGGGCAGCGUCGUGGGAGCGCUGGAGCAGAGGCUGUGGUGUGCGCGGGCAGCGCUGCGCUUCCAGCCUAUUUCAUCUUUACUGAAGGGUGUGGAAGGCUUAAGGAGACCCAUAAAGUCCUUGAAGUCUCUACAGAAGGAGUUGGAAGAGUUGCAGAAAGGUUUUAACAACUUCUGGUGAAGCUGCUUCUGGAGGGAUUGUUCUGGGUUUAAGAAGUGGGCUGUGUGCAACUGCCAAGUGCAGUCCUCCUGGGGCCAGGGAGUGCAGGAGGUGGACCAGGAAGUGUCAUCUGUGGUAUUUCGUUGCCAUAAUCCUGCAUGCACUGCCCCUACAAACUGGCUGCACUCUCAGUUUUCUUCUGCCUGACUCUCUGCCUUGGCAGUGUGGACCUCAUCUGUGCUCUGUGCAGGAGGUUUGCAGUCUGCCUUUGGCCUUGUCUGAGCUCAUUUUGUGCUGCUUCAAUUUGUUUUGUUGUGGGGGAGAUAGAGAGGAGUGGUGGGGAGGGGUCAUGGAGGCCUGGGGUUUGUCCUGAUUUGGAGGGAGGUUUUGGAGAGCUUUGUCCUGAGAAGGUGUUUGGAGAACUGUGUCUGAGGUGGACUAUGUCUGGGAAGCUUUGGGCUGAGGAGGUCUGUUGGAGAGUGGUGUCCAAGGCAGACUCUGGCCUUGUGUAUCUCAGCUGCUGUUGUAGUGCUCUGUGCAGUUGCUCCUAAGAGUUGCCUUUGCACUGCCAAUGGUUUCCAGCCUGGUGUGGAGAGUUUGUGUUUAGCUGCUUUGAGAGGGUCUGAGGAGCCUCUGUGUGCUCUUGCAGGCAGAAGUGGAGAGCUGAAAGGGUUUAGCUUUUGCCAAGCUGGUGGCACAGGAAUCCCUAGCAAUAAAAGCUGUCCUCUGCCUUGGGCUGCAUCUCUGGAGUUGGUGUUUUUGGUGUGUGAAGCAUGAGGGUUGUGGAGCUUGCUGCUGCUGUUGGAGUUGUUAGAAUGAGAGCAUAGUUUGGUGUGGCCAAAGGCUUGAAGCUGGCAGAGUGGAGCUGGUGGGUUGAGCAGUGGCAGGUGAGCACUGAGGCCUGUCCCUGAGCAUGAGAGCUGCAGAGCUGUUGAGGAGCUGCAGGGUGAGGGAGUGCAGCAGUGGCCUGGGCAGGCUGUUGCAGGGCUUGAUGGUGCAGUUUGUGUUUGGUGCAGGACUUGGCCAGAUGGCAUCGUGUUGGAAGUGCCCCUCAGAGGUGAUCUUGUGCACCUCGUGGCAGUGAGCAGGGCCUGGUGCAGCUAUAGGAGGCUGCUCAGGAGCAGAUGAUCUGUGAUGUGUACUGUGUGCAGGGCUGGAGCCUUGAGCAACUCCCUGGGCAGGCUGUUGCAGAGUGUCAGCAGCCUCCUUGUGCAGAACUUGCUCCUGCUGUGCAGCCUAACUCUGCCCUGCUCCAGUUGGAAUGCACUGCCUGAUGUCCUAUCCCCACAGGCCCUUGUGCACAGUCCCUGCCCAGCCUGCCUGUAAGUGCCCUUGAGAAGUUGAGAUGCAGGCUGCAAGGAGAGCGCAGAGCUGCUUUUGUGCAGGCUGAGCAGCUGCAGCUCUCUCAGCCUGUCUCUGUAGGAGAGGUGCUGGUGGUGAGUGAGAGACAGUCCCCCCUGUGCUGGGCUUUGUUUCCCCUGUGUGUGCCAGGCUGAGAAAGUUGUUGUUGUGCUCCAGAGUGUCUGAGGUGUGCAGGCAGAGGUCGAUGAGUGCUUUCUGAGCAGGCUGAGAUCUUGUUCCCAGCUGAGAAGUCAAAUGCUGUGUUCAGUGCCUCUGCUGCAGUGGCUUUGUGCUGAGCUUUCCAGUGCUGCUUAGCUUUCUUCUGAGUCUUGCUGUGUGCAGCUGGGAGCUGAGGGCAGUUGAAUGGAGGCAGGAGGGAUGGUCCUGAGCACUGGGAGAAGAGGGAGUUGCUGAAAGCUGCUGAGGAGUGUGAGCUGGUCCCUUCAGCUGUGAUGGUAGCCACUGGUGUUGGAGAGAGCUUUGUUCUUGGAGUGUGCUCUGGUGGUGUGCAUGAGUGGUGGUCUGGGUCUGUGCAAAGGGAGCUGCCAGAUGCUUGUCCAUGUGAGGCCUGUUGUUGUGGGUGUUGUGUGUCCUGUGUUUGAUGCUGGAGUCAUGGAAUGGUUUGGCUUGGAGGGGACCUGAGGGAUCCUCUACUUGUGGGCAGGGCAACCUUGCACUGGAGCAGUCUGCUUGAGGCCUUAUGUGGCCUGGCCUUGGAGCCCUGCAGGGAGGGUGUCAGGCACAUGUGGAGUGAUUUGUGUCAGGAAGGUGUGAGUUGAGCUGGCAGCUGUGGGCAGGAGGAAGAUUGCCCUGUCUGCAGUAGGCUCUUUGUGCAUGUUAGGCUGAGCCCAGCUGGGGAUUUCCAGUGGUGUGUGUGGAGGCAUUUGUGUGUUUGGGUUUGAUGUGCUUCCAGCUGAGGGAGCCUGCAGAGUGUUUUCUGGUGCAGUUGCUGUAGAGCAGCAAGCAAGGCCCCAGGCAAAGCCCCAACAGGCUGUUAAAGCUGAGCCUGAGUGCAUUUCCCUGCUGCAGCAGGCAGGAGGCAGCCAUGUGCAGAGUGGGUGUCUGGGAGUUGUUGGGCUGCAUCUUCUUAGGCAGAAAGAUUUGCUGACAGCUUUCAGGCUGCUGUUCAGUUCCUCUCAAGGUUUCCUGCCCACAAAGAGAGUGAGGUCAGGUGGAGCCUUUGCUGUUUGCCUGCAGGCUGAUAGCUGUGCAGAGCUUUUGUCCCCUGUGCUGUCAGGAGCACUGUGCCCUGCUGCUGUUGGUGUGGAGAUGGAGAAAUGGUGUGUGGAAGAAGAGCAGGGAGCAUUGAGAGCAGGAUGAGAUGUCCAGAGUGUGCUUGUGGCUGAGGCCUUGUUUUUGAUUUGAGUGCAGUGUUUGAUUGGAGUGGGGUCAGGCUGUCCUGAGUGGUUUUGUUUGCAAGAAGUUGUGAGGUUUCCUUGGAGGAGCUUGAGAAGCAGAGCAAGAAAUUGCAGCUGUGCUCUUUGCUGCCUGCUGAGCUGUCAAAGGCAGGAAAUGAUUGGUGAAAGUGGCUGCAGCAAUUGCAGUGGUGUGCAAGGCUGAGCAGUGGUGUGGGCAGCAGGUCCAGGGCAGGAUUGUGCCCCUGUCCUGGGCCCUGAUGAGGCCGCAGGGUGAAUGCUGGGGUCAGUGUUGAGGCAGUGAGUGGAAGAAGGUUGUUGAGGGCCUGGAGCAGGUGCAGAGAAGGACAAGAAAGCUGUGGAAGGGUGUGGAGGGCAGGGCUGUGGAGGAGCAUCUGAGGGAGCUGAGGGUGUUGAGUGUGGAGAAGAGGAGGCUGAGGGGAGAGCUGAUUGCCCUGUCCCUGAGAGGAGGUUGCAGUGAGGUGAGGUUGGUCUGUUCUUGCCAGUGUCAGGUGAUGGAAGGGAGAGGAACUGGCCUGGAAGUGUGGCAGGGGAGGCUUAGGUUGGAGAUGAGGGAGAAUUUGUUUGCAGCAAGAGUGUUGAGCGACUGGAACAGGGUGCCCAGGGAGGUGGUGGAUUCCCCAGCGCUGGAGGUGUUGAGGGCCAGUUUGGAUGAGGCUUUGAGCAGCCUGGUCUGGUAGCAGGUGUCCCUGGCUAUGGCAGGGGUUUGGAGCUCUCUGAGCUUUGGGUUCCCUUGCAGCCCAAACAAUUCUGUGAAUGCUUGGAUCUGGACACUCAGCAGAAGUUCAGUGGAGUGAAACUGUAAAUAAGCAAUGUUGGAGAGCUGGGUGAGAGCUGUGUUAGGGCUGGGUUGGAGCUUGGCCCCUGCCUUGAAGGUAAAAUUGGAGCUUUUAUCAGAUUGGAAGUUGCAGGAGAGUUGUUUUGGCCUGCAGCUGUGCCUUAGAGUUUGUGAUGCUCAAGGGGCAGCUGUGAAGUA